rnacentral:rRNA from 1 species
ACGGGUGCGUAACGCGUGGGAAUCUGCCCCUUGGUUCGGAAUAACAGUUGGAAACGACUGCUAAUACCGGAUGAUGACGAAAGUCCAAAGAUUUAUCGCCAAGGGAUGAGCCCGCGUAGGAUUAGCUAGUUGGUGAGGUAAAGGCUCACCAAGGCAACGAUCCUUAGCUGGUCCGAGAGGAUGAUCAGCCACACUGGGACUGAGACACGGCCCAGACUCCUACGGGAGGCAGCAGUAGGGAAUAUUGGACAAUGGGCGAAAGCCUGAUCCAGCAAUGCCGCGUGAGUGAUGAAGGCCUUAGGGUUGUAAAGCUCUUUUACCCGAGAUGAUAAUGACAGUAUCGGGAGAAUAAGCCCCGGCUAACUCCGUGCCAGCAGCCGCGGUAAUACGGAGGGGGCUAGCGUUGUUCGGAAUUACUGGGCGUAAAGCGCACGUAGGCGGUUAUUCAAGUCAGAGGUGAAAGCCCAGUGCUCAACACUGGAACUGCCUUUGAAACUAGAUAGCUUGAAUCCAGGAGAGGUGAGUGGAAUUCCGAGUGUAGAGGUGAAAUUCGUAGA